rnacentral:rRNA from 1 species
AUGGCUCAGGACGAACGCUGGCGGCGUGCUUCAUACAUGCAAGUCGAACGAGAAGCUGACUUCGGUCAGUGGAAAGUGGCGGACGGGUGAGUAAUAUGUAGAGAAUCUGCCCUUGAGUGGGGGACAACAGAGGGAAACUUCUGCUAAUACCCCAUAUGAGCUAACUUGAAAUAGUUAUCUUGAAAACUCCGGUGCUCAAGGAUGAGUCUGCAUCUGAUUAGCUAGUUGGCGGUGUAAUGGACCACCAAGGCGACGAUCAGUAGCUGGUUUGAGAGGAUGAUCAGCCACAAUGGGACUGAGACACGGCCCAUACUCCUACGGGAGGCAGCAGUAGGGAAUUUUGCGCAAUGGGCGAAAGCCCUGACGCAGCAACGCCGCGUGAACGAUUAAGCCCUUCGGGGUGUAAAGUUCUGUCAGUAGGGACGAAUUUUGACGGUACCUACAGAGGAAGCACCGGCUAACUCCGUGCCAGCAGCCGC